GGCGGCGUAGCUCAGUCGGCAGAGCAAGCGGCUCAUAAUCGCUGGGUCACUGGUUCAAGUCCAGUCGCCGCCACCU
rnacentral:tRNA from 1 species